rnacentral:rRNA from 1 species
UACGGGGGGAGCAAGCGUUGUUCGGAAUCACUGGGCGUAAAGGGCGUGUAGGCGGCUGAAUAAGUGGGAUGUUAAAUCCCCCGGCUCAACCGGGGACCUGCAUCUCAUACUGUUCAGCUCGAGCACAUCAGAGGAGACUGGAAUUCCCGGUGUAGCGGUGAAAUGCGUAGAUAUCGUGAGGAAGACCAGUGGCGAAGGCGGAUCUCUGGACAGCUACUGACGCUGAGGCGCGAAGGCUAGGGGAGCAAACGGG